UGCCUAUAUCACAUUGAAACACUGGUUCUUGUCUGAUCACAAAAGUUAAGCAACAUUGAGCCUGGUCAGUACUCAUUUGGGUGACAGCUAGGGAAUACCAGGUGCUGUAAGC